AUUGAACGCUGGCGGCAUGCCUUACACAUGCAAGUCGAACGGCAGCGGACCUUCGGGUGCCGGCGAGUGGCGAACGGGUGAGUAAUAUAUCGGAACGUACCUUUCAGUGGGGGAUAACGUAGCGAAAGUUACGCUAAUACCGCAUAUUCUGUGAGCAGGAAAGCAGGGGAUCGCAAGACCUUGCGCUGAUUGAGCGGCCGAUAUCAGAUUAGCUAGUUGGUGAGGUAAAGGCUCACCAAGGCGACGAUCUGUAGCGGGUCUGAGAGGAUGAUCCGCCACACUGGAACUGAGACACGGUCCAGACUCCUACGGGAGGCAGCAGUGGGGAAUUUUGGACAAUGGGCGCAAGCCUGAUCCAGCCAUGCCGCGUGAGUGAAGAAGGCCUCGGUUGUAA
rnacentral:rRNA from 1 species